rnacentral:lncRNA from 1 species
AGAGCAUACAAAGUAUACAACAAUACCUGUCUUUUUCUUGAUGAACGCUGCCUCACAGGUGAGGAUGAGGAUGAUGUAGCAGUCACAGGGGCAGGUGAUGAACUUUUCCUCACAGGUGAGGAUGAGGAUGAUGUAGCAGUCACAGGGGCAGGUGAUGAACUUUUCCUCACAGGUGAGGAUGAUGUAGCAGUCACAGGGGCAGGUGAUGAACUUUUCCUCACAGGUGAGGAUGAUGUAGCAGUCACAGGGGCAGGUGAUGAACUUUUCCUCACAGGUGAGGAUGAUGUAGCAGUCACAGGGGCAGGUGAUUUCCUCACAGGUGAGGAUGAGGAUGAUGUAGCAGUCACAGGGGCAGGUGAUGAACUUUUCCUCACAGGUGAGGAUGAGGAUGAUGUAGCAGUCACAGGGGCAGGUGAUGAACUUUUCCUCACAGGUGAGGAUGAGGAUGAAUGUAGCAGUCACAAGGGGCAGGUGAUGAACUUUUCCUCACAGGUGAGGAUGAGGAUGAUGUAGCAGUACACGGAGGGCGAGGUGAUGAGGAUGAUGUAGCAGUCACAGGGGGCAGGUGAUGAACUUUUCCUCACAGGUGAGGAUGAGGAUGAUGUAGCAGUAACAGGGCAGGUGAUGAACUUUUCCUCACAGGUGAGGAUGAGGAUGAUGUAGCAGUCACAGGAGCAGGUGAUGAACGCUGCACAGAAGACCAAAGACACAAAAGAAAUACCACAGAUGUAAACAAAAAGUAAAUAUAAAUGCUUGCUUAAUUCAAAGUGCAUUGAUUUAGUUUAAGGGCAAGACAAAUGCAUUUGGAACAAAUAAUGUUUAAAACACAAAAGGGAGGAGAAAAUAAAAAGGGAGGAGAAAAUAAUGUAGAAUAAUCUUUUGAAACACUGAUAAUAAUUUUAAAUCUUUUAGUUACCAAACAACUAUACAAAGCUUUUGCAAAAAAAUCUUGAAAAGCUUGAAGAGUUCUAUGUACAGAACAUACAGAAAGACAGUCAGAUAUCAAUACGACAACAGAUUUGAGAAAUGAGAGUACCUUGGCUUGCCAAUCCCAGUCUCCAUAGCUGUAAGUAAUCUCUUCUCCUGGUUUAAUGUCUCGGACAGCAAAAAGACAAAGAUGUGGUUGCUGCAGAUAUCAAGGUUAUAUUUUCACACAAUGUUCUUUACAUUAUGUAAGAUGAUUUUAUGUAUUAAAACUAAAAAAUAAAAAAAAAAAAAAAAAAUAAAAAAACUAAGUAAUAUACAGAAAGAAAAUGACUUUAGUCUGAAUUUGUACAUGCGUGUUCACAUUUCAUACAUAAAUAUAGUUGGAUUCUGUGCAUCUAUUGUUCAAAUAUACAAUACAUAUAAAAUAUGUCCCCAAUUUUCCAACUAGGGAAUAUCUGCGAUAAUAAUAAGUGAUCCAACCAUUAAACAACGAAAAUUAAUUAUUUUAAUUACAGUCUAUUACAGCUAAUUAACAGAAUAUUACAAUACUUUACAACACCAUAUUUUGUAGAUAAUCAUAAUUUAUACUUAAUCGUUUAUUGACAGGAUUAUAUUACACAACACGUGACCCGUGAGAAACCAUUAACUCAACUUGACUCAAGUCCUAUUAAUAUGUCAUCUGACCAAUUAUAUCUACUAUCACAAAUGAUAUUCAUAAAGAAACAAAUAUCUGUACAGCAAAUCAUCAAAUGGCAUCAACGAAAUUAAAAUCCUACUAAAAUUUACCUUUAAUAUUUUCAAUUUCGUUGUCAUAAAUUAUAGAUCAGAAGCUGUUUUUAUACAGUAACGUUAUAUGAUCACAACUCACCUCUGCUCUUUAAUCGCUGCGUAGGUCUUUCGCGGGAAAUUGAGGAUAAAUGAGGUGAUGUCAUCGGCACGUGUCAUCCGCCGACAUGUGUAUGUAAAUGACGUUGUGACGUUUUUGGAUUGCACGUUGAAGUUGUGCGUCCGUCUAUUUGUAUUUAAAAUAAACAGCAGUAAAGCACUUACACCUCAUAAACACCUUUUCCUAUCAAUUAAUUACUUAACAAUGCUGUAAAGAGACGCCUAAAAAUAUAAAAGCAAAAAAAAAAAUAAAUUAUAAAAGACGAAUACAUCUUGUGUUGUGUUCUUCCAGCUGUAUUGCGCAGACCGAACGUCACGUGACAGACAAGUAUCGCGAGUGUUAGGCAGAGGUUUUCUUCUUAAAGCAGAAGUUCUAUUAUGAUUAACAUAUGUUUCAUAUAGGUGGAGAAAUCCACGUGUAAAUUAAUUUAUGGCAUCAUAAACAUUUUAUGGUAAAACAAACCUCAUUAGGCUAUAAUACAAAUUAUAAAUUCUAACCAAUGUGGUUUGAACAUUAGUAAUUUCAAUCAUUUUAUUAUUACAAUUAAAUAAACUAACUUACCUUCUUAACAACACAUUUAAUUCUCACAGAUUGGUGGCAUUUGUUUUUUUAUGUGUAAUUAUGAUAUGCAAAAAUCUGUAAAAUCUAACUUUCACUCAGGUGCUUCAAGCAUAGACGCUCAUCUACAAGCAUAACUUUUCUCCCCAUAGAUUUUACAUCUAGAACAAUAAGAAUAGGAAAGGGAUAUUACAAAACAUUGUGUUAAAGGGUUCAUAUGUUGCUAAAAAGAACAUUAUUUUGUGUAAUUGGUGUAAUGCAAUGUGUUUAUGCAGUUUAAGGUAAAAAAAACACAUUAUUUUCCAUAUAAAGUAUAUUAUUGUUUCUCCUCUAUGCCCCCUCUAUGGAAAUGUUACGCCCCUUAACAUACUGUGAUGCGUGUCCCAGCACGACGAGACAAAACCAAUAAAACCCAUUACAAACAAGGCAUUUGCUGCAUCCAGUGGGGACAUAACUACUGAUUAUAAUGACUUAUAAUGUCUUUUUUCAUGUUGCGUAUCGCGCUGCGUAAACAUAAAACCAUGUCUGCAUUUGUGAUCGGAGAAACAACAAACAACAAGUGCUACUCUACACUGCUUAAAACUCACGUUUGAAUCAUCAGUGGCACAGUCUUUAAAUAUGUAAACGUACUUACAGUCUGUGAGUCAGAAGCACCAGACUGUCCUUGCAAAGUUGUUAUUGCCCCACUUUAUAGAAACAUACACCGGUAUUGUAGUCUAAUCUCACAGGAAACAGUCCUCUGUAAAAUACACUGCACACAUCUGAACCACUGAUUUCUAGUUGUGUCCUCAUUUGGAAGACCAAACAAGGUUGCUUCUCUUUCACAAUGAAACACACAGCGACUCCACGAUAUGGCGCCAGCGGCAACAGAGAGAAUAAAAGUUAGACCUUCUUUCUUUGCGUGGGUGGCGUUAUGCAAAUCUUCCCACAUCGUGACGUAGACAUGUGGGGCGUGUUAGAACGAGGUAUUUUAGGAGGACGUGGUUGAGUCUUAACUAUUUCAUACUAUUCAUUAAUGAAUGUCUGCUUUUUAGGUAUACAGCAUUUCAUUUAGAACUGUGGCCAAAAGAAAUUAUGAAAACAAUAUUAUCACAAUAUCUAUGACAGUUAAAAAUAAUACUUCUGUCAGUCAAAUUAAUUUCAGAUUUGGUUUAUUUUGUGUUUUCUCACAUUCAGUGUACGAGUGUAGAGAGGCAGAGAGUUUGAUACUGUGGUCCUUCAGGUAAAAUGUUAAACAGGUAAUAAACCAUCAUCUACUAUGAUGAUGUGUCAACCAGAUACUGCGACAAUUAUUUACAGUAUGUAUUUGUAGUAUUAUAUUAAUGAUCAAUAUUUAUCACAAUAUCUAUGACAGUUAAAAAUAAUACUUCUGUCAGUCAAAUUAAUUUCAGAUUUGGUUUAUUUUGUGUUUUCUCACAUUCAGUGUACGAGUGUAGAGAGGCAGAGAGUUUGACACUGUGGUCCUUCAGGUAAAAUGUUAAACAGGUAAUAAACCAUCAUCUACUAUGAUGAUGUGUCAACCAGAUACUGCGACAAUUAUUUACAGUAUGUAUUUGUAGUAUUAUAUUAAUGAUCAAUUAUCAUGACUUUGAUCCUUAAUUGCAUUCUCAAAAAAAAAAAAAAAAAAAAAAAAAAAAGGAAUUUAAAACAUAUGCAUGACCAAUAUUGUCUUGACCUUAACUGAUAUGUAGUGUUUUAAUUGGAAUAAAGCCAGCUUCCACUAUUAUUUCUUAAAUUAAGUCCUACUUAAAAUAUCGGAAACAAACAUAUUCCUUACAAAUUGUAUAAUAAACAAAAAGUUCUAGAAAUAAUGUUUUCUUGACUUGAUUAGAGUUCAUCCCAAAGCUGCUGAAGUGAAGUUAGAAGAGUUUGUGUCAGUGUCUCUCGCCCUUCCCCCACCUCAGCUGAUCACCCCUCCCCCACACAGCAGCACACACACUGUUGAGCUGUUUGACUGACUCCUGUUGAACAUUAGUGUGCUGCUGUGUGGGGGAGGGGUGAUCAGGGCCAUGAAAAGUUAUGCUUGUAGAUGAGCGUCUAUGCCUGAAGCACCUGAGUGAAAGUUAGAUUUGACAAAUUUUUGGAUAUCAUAAUUACACAUAAAAAACAAAUGACACAAAUCUGUGAGAAUUAAAUGUGUUUUUAAGAAAUUAAUUUAAUUGAAAUGAAUUUAAUUUAAUUUAAAGAAGUUUAUUUAAUUGUAAUAAUAAAAUAAUUAAAAUUACUAAUGUUUAAACUACAUUGGUUAGAAUUUAUAAUUUUUAUUAUAGCCUAAUGAGGUUUGUUUUACCAUAAAAUGUGUAUGUUUCCAUAAAUUAAUUUACACGUGGAUUUCUCCACCUAUAGGGACUGCAGCAUAUGUUAAUCUUAAUAGUUCAACAGGAGUCAGUCAAACAGCUCAACAGUGUGUGUGUGCUGAUGUGUGGGGGAGGGGUGAUCAGCUGAGGUGGGGGAAGGGCGAGAGACACACUCUUAUAACUUCAUCAGCACACUGCAGCUUUGGGAUGAACUCUUAUAAUCAAGUCAAGAAAACAUUAUUUCUAAACCAAAUGUGAAUGUGUCAGCUGAUUUGUAAUACUUUUAAGAACUUUUUUUUAUACUUAAUAUAUAAUCACUUAAUAUUAUUAUACUCUAAGAAUAAAUAACAAUAAUAAUGAUAAACAAUGAAUAAUGAUAAGAAAUCAGGACUUAUAUGAUUGUGUUAUUUAAUCAGCGGCCUUCACCCUGAGUGUUUGUGGGAGACGGGUGACAGCUCAUAAGAGCUCAUAAACUCAGAAUACACAGAGAAAAUUACCAGAUCCAUUUUAUUCAAACCUUGGACAGACUAUCUAUACUUAUUGUGGCUUAAACGCAUUGAAAAAUCAACUAAUGUAAACAUGCCCAUCUGCUUUAAUUGUGAAGAAAUGUGCAUUCAAAGCCUAAUGUCCGUCUCCCCCUAUUUUUCUCCCUUUUUUUAUUUAUAUUUUUAUUAAUACUCAAUAAUAAAAAAUAGUACACAUAUAAUAAUACAACCAUCAACAUAAAAGUGGUAGACAAUAAUAACAAAAAUAAAGUAGAAACAACAACAACAACAAAAA